AUUGAACGCUGGCGGCAUGCCUUACACAUGCAAGUCGAACGGCAGCGGACCUUCGGGUGCCGGCGAGUGGCGAACGGGUGAGUAAUAUAUCGGAACGUACCUUUCAGUGGGGGAUAACGUAGCGAAAGUUACGCUAAUACCGCAUAUUCUGUGAGCAGGAAAGCAGGGGAUCGCAAGACCUUGCGCUGAUUGAGCGGCCGAUAUCAGAUUAGCUAGUUGGUGAGGUAAAGGCUCACCAAGGCGACGAUCUCUAGCUGGUCUGAGAGGACGAUCAGCCACACUGGGACUGAGACACGGCCCAGACUCCUACGGGAGGCAGCAGUGGGGAAUAUUGGACAAUGGGCGAAAGCCUGAUCCAGCAAUGCCGCGUGUGUGAAGAAGGCCUGAGGGUUGUAAAGCACUUUCAAUCGUGAAGAAAAGUUGCAGGCUAAUACCCUGUGACCUUGACGUUAACGAUACAAGAAGCACCGGCUAA
rnacentral:rRNA from 1 species